rnacentral:rRNA from 1 species
GAUGAACGCUGGCGGCGUGCCUAAUACAUGCAAGUCGAGCGAACAGACGAGGAGCUUGCUCCUCUGACGUUAGCGGCGGACGGGUGAGUAGCACGUGGAUAACCUACCUAUAAGACUGGGAUAACUUCGGGAAACCGGAGCUAAUACCGGAUAAUAUAUUGAACCGCAUGGUUCAAUAGUGAAAGACGGUUUUGCUGUCACUUAUAGAUGGAUCCGCGCCGCAUUAGCUAGUUGGUAAGGUAACGGCUUACCAAGGCAACGAUGCGUAGCCGACCUGAGAGGGUGAUCGGCCACACUGGAACUGAGACACGGUCCAGACUCCUACGGGAGGCAGCAGUAGGGAAUCUUCCGCAAUGGGCGAAAGCCUGACGGAGCAACGCCGCGUGAGUGAUGAAGGUCUUCGGAUCGUAAAACCCUGUUAUUAGGGAAGAACAAAUGUGUAAGUAACUAUGCACGUCUUGACGGUACCUAAUCAGAAAGCCACGGCUAACUACGUG